rnacentral:sRNA from 1 species
UUACGGCAUUUCUGACGUAUCGCCCUGC